AGCGAACGCUGGCGGCAGGCCUAACACAUGCAAGUCGAACGGCUCUUCGGAGCAGUGGCGGACGGGUGAGUAACGCGUGGGAACGUGCCCUUUGGUUCGGAACAACACAGGGAAACUUGUGCUAAUACCGGGUGUGCCCUGCGGGGGAAAGAUUUCUAGCCAUUGGAGGGGCCGGCGUUGGAUUAGGUUGUUGGUGGGGUAAAGGCCCAGCAAGCCUACGAUCCAUAGCUGGUCUGAGAGGAUGAACAGCCACACUGGGACUGAGACACGGCCCGGACUGCUACGGGAGGCAGCAGUGGGGAAUCUUGCGCAAUGGGCGAAAGCCUGACGCAGCCAUGCCGCGUGAAUGAUGAAGGUCUUAGGAUUGUAAAAUUCUUUCACCGGGGAAGAUAAUGACGGCACCCGGAGAAGAAGCCCCGGCUAACUUCGUGCCAGCCGCCGCGGUAACAC
rnacentral:rRNA from 1 species